AGGUUGGCCCUCUUACACCAACAGUGUCCUGGCGGAAGCAUGAGAUUUCCCCCCUGCUUCCUGGUGAUUGCAAAGGAAGUUGGGACCACAACAUCCAAGCAGUUCUCCAAGUGCUCCCCAGAGUCUGUGAUAAGAAUGCAAUGGGACCAGCUGCCUCACGCUCCUGCCACCACAAUGAGAGCUGCUUUCACCACCACACCUUCUUCACCAUGAUGGGUCAUAUCCUCAAAUUUCUCAUGGAUUUUGUUUUAUCAUUUUGUGGUGCCUUGGGCUGAAGUCUUGGACUGAAUAAAAAGAAGAAAGAAUGGAAGUUCCAGCAUUCAUCUCUCUGCUUCCUGACUGUGAGAACAAUGUGACCAACUGCCUCACACUCCUGCUGCCAUGCCUCCUCCCCACAAUGGGCUGGCUGACAGAAGGAGAGAGUGUGUCAGCGUCUUCUGCCACCGCAAACAAACUCAAGAUGCA